UACGUAGGGUGCGAGCGUUUAAUCGGAAUUACUGGGCGUAAAGUGUGCGCAGGCGGCGUUGCAAGUCGAGUGUGAAAUCCCCGAGCUUAACUUGGGAAUUGCGCUCGAAACUACGAUGCUCGAGUGUGGCAGAGGAAGGUGGAAUUCCACGUGUAGCGGUGAAAUGCGCAGAUAUCAGGAGGAACACCGAUGGCGAAGGCAGGUCUCUGGGCCACUACUGACGCUGAGAAGCGAAAGCAUGGGGGAGCGAACAGG
rnacentral:rRNA from 1 species